rnacentral:lncRNA from 1 species
GAGCUGCAUGGUGCCUUUACAACAAAAAAGACGUAGUGAAGCCGAUUGUAAUCAGGCAAUUACUUGUGGACAUCCACAGCACUCGGUCAGAAGUCCUGGUUCUUUCUGCUUCAGACAAAGCUGCUUGUGGGAGCGCUGUGUCUCACAUAGUAUUCUACUGCUGCAGAGCAGGGCUGAAAUGUUUCUGUUAUAAAUGCACAGCAGUGUCCUCGGCUAGUUCCUUAUGGAAGCUAGAGUUUCUGUUUAUCAGUGGAAAAUGUGCAUGCUGACAUCUGUGCGAAAGACCUCUACACAAUUAUUAGAGUUUUAAAGUGUGUCUCUUUGGAAUGAGCACAGCAAUAACCAGAAGCAAUUGUGCCAAGAAUUUGUGAUGCCCGUUAAGCAUUUGUUCGUGAUAGACUGUGUUACCAGAGUGUUUUCCUAUGCCUGUGCAAGAAAAGUUUCCGUAAUCAUUUCUCUUUUAAGAAACAGUUUCUGAUGAGGUUCCUAAACAGCAGUAGAAACAGGGAUAGAUUGUUCUAUGUGCAUCUAGCUUUGCCUCUGCUUUAUAUAAUUUCACUGCUAUUGUCCUUGAGCCACUCCUUGAACCACUCCUCGUGCUUAUAAAAACUUUUGAAGUCUGAGAUGGAAUGUUACUGCAGUGCUGACCUUCUGAAGGCAUUUUCUGGAGAAGCUAGAACAGAUAAACUUGUUACUCACCUAAGGAAAAACCCUGGAGCUUCUGAUAAAAAGGAGGUUGGUGUCACCUUAAUCAUGGCUGUCUUCUCAGAGAGUGACCUUGGAAUCCUGGCCCUCCAGGUGCCCUGCUUGGCCUACUUGCUGCAACCUGCACUGUUGAUAGUUGACAUGAUGUAGAGAAGUACAGCAGAAAUGUUGUGGAAAAUUUGGAUUGUAAG